rnacentral:tRNA from 1 species
CAAGAAGUAGUUUAGUUAGAAUAUCAGCUUUGGGUGCUGAUGGUGGAGGGGUAGUCCUUCCUUCUUGA